rnacentral:rRNA from 1 species
CUCCUAACCUUAGGCGCCGUGCCUUAUACAUGCAAGUCGAGCGAACAGAAUAAGGAGCUUGCUCCUUUGACGUUAGCGGCGGACGGGUGAGUAACACGUGGAUAACCUACCUAUAAGACUGGGAUAACUUCGGGAAACCGGAGCUAAUACCGGAUAAGAUUUUGAACCGCAUGGUUCAAUAGUGAAAGACGGCCUUGCUGUCACUUAUAGAUGGAUCCGCGCCGUAUUAGCUAGUUGGUUAGGUAACGGCUUACCAUUGCUACGAUACGUAGCGGACCUGAAAGGGA